CUUGUUAAUGGAAAAGUGGAGGACAUUGCGGGAGGCGUGUCCAAGGCACAGGGUACGUGCGGGGCAGAGGAGCCCAGGGGAGCAUGCGCCGACAUAGGUAAUCUUAUUGGUCAAAGAAGUCACAUGGUGUUAAAGGAUAACACAGCGCCGAUUUUAAAAUAAAUUCUGUUUGUUCACCAUCUCACGAGGAGGUGUUUUUCCUUAUUAUAUAAGGACAUUUGCGUACCUUACAGGAAUCCUAGGAAGGAAAG